ACCAGAAGCUAUCUGAGAUUGUAAGGUUUAGUUAAACCAAUGCUUCCCUUAUCAACAAUCUCAACAGCUUUUCUUACAGAAAGUUCUACUUUUUCCAUCUUUCCUCUCCAAAAUCGUGACCUCACGUCCCUUGCCACUCUUUUCUACUUCAUUUCACACUUCUCCUUCUUUCUUCCUUUUUGACUUUUCAACACACAUCUUUUCACCUUUUACUUUUUCUUUCUCCUUUCUUUUCUCUUUUUAUGUGCUAACACACACACAUACACACACACACUCACAUGACAAUUUAUUUUGAUUUUCUUUCUUCAUACAUCUCUUAACCCAUUUCAGAUUUUUCGCAUUUCUAACUCCACAUUAACACCAAUAAAACCUCUCUUUAAUGUGUGUAAAUGGUAGUUUUUAAAAUGUGUUAAAGUACCCCCCUUAAGCCUCAUUUAUGUAGCCUAUAAUUUCUAAUAGGAUGGUAACCUCCCAAAAGGAAUCAAAGGUCUCUUACAAGUGCCCAAAGUCCAUGCAAAGGUGGAAAAAUUUUGAGACCUAUGCAAUGUAGCGUGUGAAUGCAAGAAAUAAAAUGAGAAGAAGACUCUUGAACGUUCACGGUCCUACUUUAAACAACCAAACCUUUCCUUUUUUUUUUGGAUCCUGCUAUUAUGACAACUAUAUUUUCACACCUUUUUGACAAUGCCACGUUCCAGCGCCUCAUUGGUCCGUUUGGAAUAAAAUUAAAAUAUGAAAAUGUGACUUGGAAAAGGUCAUAGGGUUAAGAGAUUGCUCAUUCCAAAAUUACCCCUCACCGUAUUUGAUCUCUCCAUUCUCUCAUAUUCCCCAAUUUUCGUUCUCUCUCUUCAUUCGGGUUCUCUCUCCUCAUUUUCGUUCUCCCUCCAUUUUUGUCCUCUCUCGAACCUUUGGUGAAGCUCGUGAUUUGCGAGGGACGAAACCAAAGCUUCAACCUUUGGUGAAGGUCCGCAUUUGCGUGGGACAAACCUAAAGUCCUCUCUCCUCCUUUUGGUCCUCCAUUUCGUUCGCUCUCAUAUUCCUCAUUGUGCGUAAUGGCAUUCUCCGGUGACCAUGGUGGUUCGAGCAAGGUAGAUGGGUUUAUCCAUUUUCUUCAUUGCGUUUUGGGUUUGACAUUGGGUUUUCGCUGUUGGGUUUAAUUUUUUUUUUCGUUUUUGAGAUUUGGCCUUUUCUUAUUCUGGUCUCUUAGAUGCAGUUGUGCGUUCG
rnacentral:lncRNA from 1 species